GGUACCAGUGAAAUACUGUGUGAUUACCUGAUACAUUUUUUUUAAUUAAAAAUAAACUUCUUACUGGCCCAAAAGGCUGCCAUAGAAAUACUGACUCAUGGGCCCGGUGCCCCUUGCCUGGGCUCAGGAAUAAAUUUGGUCACAGACAUCA
rnacentral:snoRNA from 1 species